AAGUGACGCGGUAGAGGAGCGUUCUGUAAGCCUGUGAAGGUGAGUUGAGAAGCUUGCUGGAGGUAUCAGAAGUGCGAAUGCUGACAUGAGUAACGACAAUGGGUGUGAAAAACACCCACGCCGAAAGACCAAGGGUUCCUGCGCAACGUUAAUCGACGCAGGGUUAGUCGGUUCCUAAGGCGAGGCUGAAAAGCGUAGUCGAUGGGAAACAGGUUAAUAUUCCUGUACUUCUGGUUACUGCGAUGGAGGGACGGAGAAGGCUAGGCCAGCUUGGCGUUGGUUGUCCAAGUUUAAGGUGGUAGGCUGAAAUCUUAGGUAAAUCCGGGGUUUCAAGGCCGAGAGCUGAUGACGAGUCGUCUUUUAGAUGACGAAGUGGUUGAUGCCAUGCUUCCAAGAAAAGCUUCUAAGCUUCAGGUAA
rnacentral:rRNA from 1 species